rnacentral:rRNA from 1 species
UACAGAGGGCGCAAGCGUUGUCCGGAAUUAUUGGGCGUAAAGAGCGCGCAGGCGGUCGUUCAAGUCGCGUGUGAAAGCCCCCGGCUCAACUGGGGAGGGUCACGCGAUACUGAUCGACUCGAAGGCAGGAGAGGGUAGUGGAAUUCCCGGUGUAGUGGUGAAAUGCGCAGAUAUCGGGAGGAACACCAAUGGCGAAGGCAGCUCGCUGGGACGGUACUGACGCUGAGACGCGAAAGCGUGGGGAGCAAACAGG